CGCGUGCCACCACGCCCAGCUAAUGUUUUGUAUUUUUAGUAGAGACGGGGUUUCACCAUGUUGGCCAGGCUGCUGUUAAAUUCCUUACUUUAGGUGAUCUGCUCCCUUUGACCUCCCAAAGUGCUGGGAUUACAGGCGUGAGCUACUGUGCCUGGCC